UAUCUGUUUGAUAGAUUUUCUAAUGACAUUUAAUUGGAUAUAGCUAUUCUUGAUAAUAAUAUCGUUGCAUGAUUUUGCUUGGAUUAGAAAAAUUGAUGUCCGUGUACUGCAUUCACUGCACAGGACUAUAUCGCAUGUCAAACACUGUUUCUAGGGUUGCCAACUGUCCCGUAUUAGCCGGGACCUCCCUUGUCCCGUAUAUUCAUCCAAUCACAGUAUAGUGUAAACGCGCCAAUUCCUGCAAAGUCAUUUCUGUUAUUGUUCGGUCGGUUUGGUAUAUCAAGGAAAUAUGGAUAAACAUGCAAAAAAGACUGUGCAGCUACAACAAACAACGUGAAGCAAAGACGUGUGUUAAGGCUGUCAGUGGUGACUCGACGAAAGCUUUCUGUACUUUAUGCGUCGGGAAUUCUCAAUUGGCCAUGAAGGGGAGAAUGACCUAACUCAGCAUGCAUCCACAUAAAUAAUGCAUCCACAGAAAUGCACAAGGCCAAGCUAGCUAAAUAGCAAUAUCGGUGUAUUCUUCGUGACAUAAUUGGAAAACACCUCUCCGUUUACCAGUUAUUGAGCAGUACCAACAAUCGCAUUCUGAAAGCUAAUUGCCCAUAAUUAGCUCAUAGCUCAUAAUGCCUGCAAGCACGCCUGCGAUCAGUGGAUAUUGAGACAAUUGUUUUACAGAUCUACAGCCACUUAUCAGUAUAUGCUUCCCGAAGAGAGGAACUGCGUGCAUUUUUUUUGUUGCCUUUGUUGACACUGAGUGGCGUGAAAUUCUGCGACAUGUUUGCACACGAUGGCUCUCUCUUCAUCCAGCUGUCGAUCGUCUCCAGCAAAGCUGGCCAGAUCUUACGUCAUACUUCAGGUCCCUUAGGGAGACCUGUCCUGUGGCACUGAAUAGUAUUUUUGAAAACGAAAAAAAAACGGAAGCUGCUGAGAUUUAUCUGUGCUUUUUCCACAAAGUGUGUGUGUUUUUGACCAACUCGUAAAAAAGCUGGACGAAACAACGCUCUGCAUCACAGAUGUUUACGAGGAAGUCCAAAAGUUCAAAAUUUAAGAUGCUUCAGCUGAAACAGGACAGUUUUGUCUGAGUAGACUAAGCAGCUGAUGGACAAACAAUUGUCAGCACAAAGGUCCAAGCAGCAACAGGACUUUGAAGUUCUAUGACACUGUCAUUACAUACAUUGACAAGUGGUUUGAUUUCUCACCAGAAAAUGUAAUGGUGAAACUGAUGUGCCUCUAUGAGGAGCUCUCCUUCACUGACCUGGAGCAGGUGGUGGUUGCCCUCAAAAUGACAGACAGUCAGUAUGGACCAACUCUAUGAAGAGUUUUGUACUAGCUGGGAGGAAAUGCAGAAAGCCAGACAGGAUACCACAAAAUCCACCAGUGAGAAGUAGGUGGCAGUUUUCCAAAACCUAGGGAAAGCCAACUUGAUCAACAUAUUCAGGAUUGUCUCAUUUGUCCUCAGUGUGCCAGGCUCAAAUGCCUUUGUAGAAAGGAUUUUUUUGUCUGAUUACCAUUAAAUGGUCAGACUCAAGAAACAGAUGCAGCACAGAGCUGAUCAAAAAUGAACUUCAAAUAUCUGUGAACUGUGACUUGUCAUGUAAUGACUUCUCUCUGGCUAUGCAAGAGGAGAAAGGACUGCUUGAAUCAGUCAAGAGCAGCAAAAAAUAUGUAGACUUGAAUAAGCAGCCAAGGAGUGAGGACCAUAGGUGAGUCCUUGAAUGUUGGAGCAGCCAGGUUAGUCAACUUGUUGUUAAUCCCUGGAGCUGCAGUGAGAGACUGAGGUACUGAUAGAAGGGGGGGCUGUUACCCUACCAGAUAGGGUCUGUGAUUGGCUGACCAGGUUCCCUGAUUGAAUGAGCUCCCUGGAAG
rnacentral:lncRNA from 1 species